AGCGAACGCUGGCGGCAGGCCUAACACAUGCAAGUCGAGCGCCCGUAGCAAUACGGGAGCGGCAGACGGGUGAGUAACACGUGGGAACGUACCCUUCGGUUCGGAAUAACCCAGGGAAACUUGGAUUAAUACCGGAUACGUCCGUAAGGAGAAAGAUUUAUCGCCGAAGGAUCGGCCCGCGUCCGAUUAGCUUGUUGGUGAGGUAAUGGCCCACCAAGGCUACGAUCGGUAGCUGGUCUGAGAGGAUGAUCAGCCACACUGGGACUGAGACACGGCCCAGACUCCUACGGGAGGCAG
rnacentral:rRNA from 1 species